GACGAACGCUGGCGGCGUGCUUAACACAUGCAAGUCGAACGGAAAGGCCCUGCUUUUGUGGGGUGCUCGAGUGGCGAACGGGUGAGUAACACGUGAGUAACCUGCCCUUGACUUUGGGAUAACUUCAGGAAACUGGGGCUAAUACCGGAUAGGAGCUCCUGCUGCAUGGUGGGGGUUGGAAAGUUUCGGCGGUUGGGGAUGGACUCGGGGCUUAUCAGCUUGUUGGGGGGGUAGUGGCUUACCAAGGCUUUGACGGGUAGCCGGCCUGAGAGGGUGACCGGCCACAUUGGGACUGAGAUACGGACCAGACUCCUACGGGAGGCAGCAGUGGGGAAUAUUGCACAAUGGGCGGAAGCCUGAUGCAGCAACGCCGCGUGCGGGAUGACGGCCUUCGGGUUGUAAACCGCUUUCGCCUGUGACGAAGCGUGAGUGACGGUAAUGGGUAAAGAAGCACCGGCUAACUACGUG
rnacentral:rRNA from 1 species